GUGUGUGUGUGUGUGUGUGUGUGUAUAUAUAUAACACAUAUUUAAUUUCUCUGUGAAAAUUACUGAAAAAAUCUCGCAUUUUCAUGCGCGAGUAAAUUUUGCGAGAAGUUUCAUCGUCCGUUAUAUUAAUCGUUUAACGAUAUUAAUCGCGUAUUUGUCAAGAGCUUCGUUUCAAUUUACAUGAGGAAUAUUCCAAAUAUUCGCGUUAUCAAGCGCCUCGACCGGUUAAGAGCCGUACACGUGGACGUAUCGAAAGGUAGCCGCGUUCAAUUACGAGCGUAUCUCAAUAAGAAGAUCAGGUAUACGACGGACAUCUUCAAUUACGGGCAACGUUGACGAGAUCGGAGAUACCGUGUUACACGACGGAACGUUUCCCUGGAGGAGAGAGUCCUCGGCGAUUACUUAUUGCGAACGAACGGCCAAUUAUACCCGCGUGAGUGCCAAUUCUACAGUCUCGGCUUCUUCUGCCUCUCCUUGCCGCCGCCGUCUCUACCUCCACGACAGAUACGCGUCAUCAUCGUCGACGUGAUGCACACGCCAUCCGACCUCAGAGGUCCCUUGCAAUCUCGCAAUCGCACGAAUCAUUACCGUGUUACAGACUUCCCUGACGGCGCCCAUGGGAGCGUACACUUGCUCUGAUUUUAUGUUGGAAGCGAGAAUAUAGAAGCCGGUGAGAAAAGUUACGCAGGGGACGACGCGAUGACGGCGCGUCAUCAGCGUUCUCGCAUUAAGACGUUGCUUUACGCGCCGUCGAGUUCAGCCUUGCUCGAAGCAUUACGAGUGAUUUAAUAGCGAUUGGUCGGGGAGAACGAGUGUGAUUAGCGAAAACGAGAGUGAAACUACUGAAAUUGCAUUCGUAAUGCGUACGAUGCAGCGAUGAUGCUGUGCGUUUAACGACGCUAAGGAUCUGUUCGUUACUGCUGAUUAGGAUUGUGAAAGGGUGAUGGUGUAAUUCCCAGAACUGUUUAGCGCACACGUGACCACACAAACCAAUGUGAAGGAAAAUAUAAACAGAGAAAGUGCAUCACGUUUGAAGCAGCGCAAAUGAAUAUGAUGAUGAAUUCUCUGUACGAGCGAGAGUAUAAGAAGUAGUUAAUAAAAACUUCUGUGUCUGUCAACAUUAGCAUGGAAUAAAUACAAAGUUUAAGGGCUGCACGCGCGGCAUAAAAAAUUAAUCGCACUGCUGGCGGCAAUAAAUACGAUAAUAUACAGUAUAAUAUCGUCAUUAAUAUAUCAUAACAGAGAAACAUUUAUUUAUCAGCAUAAUGUUUUAUUAUAAUGCAUUUACGAUGAUUCUACCGAUAUCCGAAUUUCAAUACGAAAAGUAAUCGACGACAAUAUAUCUCUUUUUUAAACACACUAAUGACCGAGUAUAACUUUCAGCGUCUCAAUUAAUCUAUCAUUCGCAUUCAUAUGGAUGCGAAAGUGAGUUUGGCAAGAUUCCAAAGUCUGUGCGCAAAACGACCCACACGAUACCUCGUUUCUGAUUGCAGCGUUUCGUGAGAAGAAACGAUGUGUAAGUAACCUUCUCAAAAUGAGAAGAUAACCGUUGUAGUUUAUCACAAAUAUUAUUGGUCGAAAAAUAAUAGAUUCUUAGAUCAAUUUUAAACAGUAUUCUUAUGAAACAACUUAUCUAUAUUAGAGAGCGAUAAUAUCGGGGAAAAUCGUAAAAAAAAUAAACGUGAUAGUGAGUCGGUCUAGAAAAUCUGUUCUCGAGCAGUAAUGCAAUGCAAAAGUAAAACAUAUGUAUCGUUAUUAACAGGUUAGUUAAUAUUUAUUUCCGAGUAUCACGUAUGGACCUUGGACGUUCUUGACCUUUGGAUCAUUUCGUACGUCACUUUUUGCACGGCGUGACGUAAAUCGCGUGGUCAGUUUCCUUGCGCAGAUUAUAUGAGAAAUAACGAGACUGUGUUUAAUUUAGCAACGGCUGACACGAAUAAUUUCGUACGUUAGCAUCCGUGAACGCCAACUGAGAAGAGGAUCGCGCCAAACAUUAACGCCUAACUUGUUUGCGAUUGAUUAUAUUUCGCGUGUGAUAUCGUCGAAAGCCUUGUAAACAAAGAGUGUAAAAUCUGUUUUUGACUCAGAUUUGAUUUUUCGA